GGCCUAACACAUGCAAGUCGAGCGGAAACGAGUUAUCUGAACCUUCGGGGAACGAUAACGGCGUCGAGCGGCGGACGGGUGAGUAAUGCCUAGGAAAUUGCCCUGAUGUGGGGGAUAACCAUUGGAAACGAUGGCUAAUACCGCAUGAUGCCUACGGGCCAAAGAGGGGGACCUUCGGGCCUCUCGCGUCAGGAUAUGCCUAGGUGGGAUUAGCUAGUUGGUGAGGUAAGGGCUCACCAAGGCGACGAUCCCUAGCUGGUCUGAGAGGAUGAUCAGCCACACUGGAACUGAGACACGGUCCAGACUCCUACGGGAGGCAGCAGUGGGGAAUAUUGCACAAUGGGCGCAAGCCUGAUGCAGCCAUGCCGCGUGUGUGAAGAAGGCCUUCGGGUUGUAAAGCACUUUCAGUCGUGAGGAAGGUAGUGUAGUUAAUAGCUGCAUUAUUUGACGUUAGCGACAGAAGAAGCACCGGCUAACUCCGUGCCAGCAGCCGCGGUAAUACGGAGGGUGCGAGCGUUAAUCGGAAUUACUGGGCGUAAAGCGCAUGCAGGUGGUUUGUUAAGUCAGAUGUGAAAGCCCGGGGCUCAACCUCGGAAUAGCAUUUGAAACUGGCAGACUAGAGUACUGUAGAGGGGGGUAGAAUUUCAGGUGUAGCGGUGAAAUGCGUAGAGAUCUGAAGGAAUACCGGUGGCGAAGGCGGCCCCCUGGACAGAUACUGACACUCAGAUGCGAAAGCGUGGGGAGCAAACAGGAUUAGAUACCCUGGUAGUCCACGCCGUAAACGAUGUCUACUUGGAGGUUGUGGCCUUGAGCCGUGGCUUUCGGAGCUAACGCGUUAAGUAGACCGCCUGGGGAGUACGGUCGCAAGAUUAAAACUCAAAUGAAUUGACGGGGGCCCGCACAAGCGGUGGAGCAUGUGGUUUAAUUCGAUGCAACGCGAAGAACCUUACCUACUCUUGACAUCCAGAGAACUUUCCAGAGAUGGAUUGGUGCCUUCGGGAACUCUGAGACAGGUGCUGCAUGGCUGUCGUCAGCUCGUGUUGUGAAAUGUUGGGUUAAGUCCCGCAACGAGCGCAACCCUUAUCCUUGUUUGCCAGCGAGUAAUGUCGGGAACUCCAGGGAGACUGCCGGUGAUAAACCGGAGGAAGGUGGGGACGACGUCAAGUCAUCAUGGCCCUUACGAGUAGGGCUACACACGUGCUACAAUGGCGCAUACAGAGGGCGGCCAACUUGCGAAAGUGAGCGAAUCCCAAAAAGUGCGUCGUAGUCCGGAUUGGAGUCUGCAACUCGACUCCAUGAAGUCGGAAUCGCUAGUAAUCGUGGAUCAGAAUGCCACGGUGAAUACGUUCCCGGGCCUUGUACACACCGCCCGUCACACCAUGGGAGUGGGCUGCAAAAGAAGUAGGUAGUUUAACCUUCGGGGGGACGCUUACCACUUUGUGGUUCAUGACUGGGGUGAA
rnacentral:rRNA from 1 species